GACGAACGCUGGCGGCGUGCUUAACACAUGCAAGUCGAACGGAAAGGCCCUGCUUUUGUGGGGUGCUCGAGUGGCGAACGGGUGAGUAACACGUGAGUAACCUGCCCUUGACUUUGGGAUAACUUCAGGAAACUGGGGCUAAUACCGUAUAGGAGCUCCUGCUGCAUGGUGGGGGUGGGAAAGUUUCGGCGGUUGGGGAUGGACGCGCGGCUUAUCAGCUUGUUGGUGGGGUAGUGGCUUACCAAGGCUUUGGCGGGUAGCCGGCCUGGGAGGGGGACCGGCCACAUUGGGACUGAGAUACGGCCCAGACUCCUACGGGAGGCAGCAGUGGGGAAUAUUGCACAAUGGGCGGAAGCCUGAUGCAGCAACGCCGCGUGCGGGAUGACGGCCUUCGGGUUGUAAACCGCUUUAGCCUGUGACGAAGCGUGAGUGACGGUAAUGGGUAAAGAAGCACCGGCUAACUACGUG
rnacentral:rRNA from 1 species